UACAGAGGGUGCGAGCGUUGUCCGGAAUCACUGGGCGUAAAGGGCGCGUAGGUGGUGGCUUAAGCGUGCGGUGAAAGCUCGGGGCUCAACUCCGAGUCGGCCGUGCGAACUGGGCUCACUGGAGCAUAGUAGAGGCAGGUGGAAUUCCGGGUGUAGCGGUGGAAUGCGUAGAGAUCCGGAAGAACACCGGUGGCGAAGGCGGCUCACUGGCCCGUAACUGACGCUCAUGCACGACAGCGUGGGGAUCAAACAGG
rnacentral:rRNA from 1 species